UUGGCUUCAUCAUUUGUGCGGCAUUGUUAGUGACCGACGGAAGGCAGUGGUCACUUUUUGUAGGGAGGUGAAGCGUCGGCACAGCUUUCUGCCUCAGCAUUGAUUUGAAGGCUAUCGACUCAACCCG